AUACCUUCCUCAACCUUUUGGCUAAGAUCAAAUCAAGUAUAUGUUCAUAUCAGUUUAAUAUCUGAUAUGUAGGUCAAUGGCCUGCACCAUGUUAAAUUAUUUUUUUUAGGGAGAGGGUCUAAUACAGUAGAGACUCUCAAGUGUUGCUCAAGCUUUGCACUACUACACAAACCUGGCACAUCCCAC